AACAAGUUAAGUAAAAUAAACAAAAUAACCAAACUGGGCCAAGGCCCAAGUGUAAAGGGGUGGAAAAAUGAAAAACAAGGGUGCCUAAAUCCUUUUCCCUUUUUCAGAAAAAAAAAUGAAAUGGGCUUGAAAGGAGGUGAUGAGAGCGAAAACAGGGGUGCGGGAAGUUAAUCAAAACCUAAGAAAAACUAAAAGUAAAAACAAAAAUAAAAAAAACCUAGGCCCAACCCUAGCUUCAGAAACCCCUUUAGGGGUCCUCUCAGUCUCUCUCAUUUCUCAGUCACUCAAACCAAGCUCCCAGAUUCAUCUCACUCUGUCGAACCAAACCAGGGUUGGGGCUUGCACGCUACCACCUCCAUCCGACAACCACCGCUCCCGUCCGGCCAACCUUGGCGUCGCCGGCGAUCCUACACCCCACCGGAGCCACCGCCGGCCAUUCGUCAUCCCUCUCUCCACCAACCUAUGGUUGGGGGUGCGCCUCAAAUGUGUCGCCGCUUACCUCCGACGGCCGCUACGUCUUACGCCUUCCCUAGUCUCGCCGUUGCCGGCGACGGAAGAUGUUACCAAGAUCAGGGCCGACAUCACCGCACCGCCACCUUCCUUCUCCUUUUUCGUUUCUCGCCUGAGAGAAAACCGUCUCCGUUCGCUUCCCGGGCAGCUGUCGUUUCUCUUUCUCAACUUUCAACUUCGACUUGAAUUCCGAUGGGGAUAGGGUUGAUUAACAGUGGUUUAGAGUUCCAGAUUUUGUGCUUGUGAUGUUGUGCGUGUGUGUGUCGAAGAACAAGGUUGAGGAUGAUGGUGUUAUGCGUGUGGGGUGGAGGAGAAGAGAAUGGUGAUUGGGACCAAGCCGAGAGAAGCAAGAUGAAGGAUAUGGUGUUGUCUUGUCUCGUUUGCGUUAUACUAUUGUUGAUGCUUGGAAAUAAGGAAGAAAAGGGUGUAGUGGAAGAUGAAGGAAGGGUUGAGUCUGCGGUGGUCGUGAUGCUUAAGGUCUUAAUUGGGUUGGCAAGGUGAUGAUGGGAGACCUGAUGGAUGCUAGGAAGACGUGGUAAUGGUGGAGGAAGGAUUGGGUUAUGAACGGUGAGGCUUGGUGUGGGUGUUACAACCAAGCUAAAAGGGUUUUUGGGGCUGUAAAUUGACUUUUGUUCGUGAUCUUUGUGGCUUGUUUGGGUGUUGAUUGAGAAAUCUGUGGAGGUGUAAUGUUGAAGGGUCGAAGGUAUGGUGGACGGGCAUUGCAGCGACAAGGGAUUGAUUGAGGGUGGUUGAAGAUUGGGUGAUGAAAUCACAUAUCAAUCAUAUACAACAAUCAUAUAUAAGCAUACACAACACAGCAUGGAUGUAUUCAACGAGUGAAAACCAAGAGAUUAAAUGCUACAGACAAACUCACAGACCCAUGAUGAUAGCUGUGGAAGGCAAUACUUACCUCUUGAAGCUUGGUGAUCUGUGACAAAGGAGGUGGUGGCUAGCCAAAGGUGGGUUGCGUGCUGAGGAAUUGAGAGAAACUGAAAACCAAGAUCAAAGAAUAGGCGUAGGUGGUGCACUAGGUGGUCCGGUUUCUAUUGUUGGUAAUGAAGUGAGUAAAAUGAGUAUUGGUUUGGUAGUGGUAAGUGUUGAUAAAGAUGGUCUAAUAGGAAAUUGUGUUGGGGUUAGAAGAUGAGGUUGGGUGAGAGGAUGAGGUCCUAUGUUGUGUGUGAUGAGGGUGUCGAGAUGGAGGGAUGAUGAGAAGGUAAGUUGAGAGUCGUGAGUCAAUAGAGAGCGUUGCCUUCUGUCCGAGUCUAGGAGGUGGGGGAAAAGCAUAUGGUCCCCUCCCCCUGAUGAAUCACGCGUGCCAUCAGUUGAAGAUCGUUUUUUUGUUUCUUCUCCUCUCUCCAAGGCGCCUACAGUCACUCUGCAACCCUUCCACCAUCUUUCAUGCUUCCAUGCUAAACCCAUUAAAAAAAAACAAUGACUGAGCCAAUAUUCGCAUCCAAAAGGGAAGAUGGCGUGUCUGUCAAAUGGUUGCUUCCUGCAACCCAGCUACCCCUGCUCUGCUGAAUUUUUUUAUUGCUUUGCUGUAUUUUCCCUUUCGGGUGAGCUAGCUAGGACAGUGUAGUUGCAUGCAUGGCGCAUCAGAAGACUAUGCACUAGAAUAGGAGAUAACGUGAUGGCAUAAAAAGGGAAACGCUAUGAGAAGAAAGUUGGCUCAAAUUGGAUCCUGGUUA